CAUGCCCAUCCUGCCCAUCAGAAGACAGCACAACCCAGAUGAGGCCACUGAAGGGCACUGGAUGCCCAGGGAUCACCACUUGGUACCAGAAGUGGUGCCAGCCAGCAGGACCUGUGCCUAAGCACUUGGAAUACUGGUUGAUGCAGGCUUUGUCUACCUCAUAACCAUAUAAUAGCUAACCUUUACUGUGAAUACUUGCUAUGAAUCAACGAAUGUGCUAAAUGCCUCCUAUAAUUCUCACAUUCUCAGUUGGACUGCCUUGGGCAAGUCCCCUUCUCUUAAAACAAUCUCAUCUCUAAAGAGGGA